UACGGAGGGAGCUAGCGUUGUUCGGAAUACUGGGCGUAAAGCGCACGUAGGCGGCUUUGUAAGUUAGAGGUGAAAGCCCGGGGCUCAACUCCGGAAUUGCCUUUAAGACUGCAUCGCUAGAAUUGUGGAGAGGUAAGUGGAAUUCCGAGUGUAGAGGUGAAAUUCGUAGAUAUUCGGAAGAACACCAGUGGCGAAGGCGACUUACUGGACAC
rnacentral:rRNA from 1 species